ACGAGUUUUAAUUGUUAGGUUAGAGUUGAGCUGGUUAAUCUAAUUAAUAUGUGCUUACUCUAAUCGAAACAAGUCCACUCAUUACUUAACACUUGUGAACUUAUUCAUUACAAACAUUAUUAUUUGUUAUUGGAACGUUUGAUUAUUAAAAAGUUAAUACAACUUUCAACAACGGAUCUCUUGGCUCUCGCAUCGAUGAAGAACGCAGCGAAAUGCGAUAAGUAAUGUGAAUUGCAGAAUUCAGUGAAUCAUCGAAUCUUUGAACGCACCUUGCGCUCCCUGGUAUUCCGGGGAGCAUGCCUGUCUGAGUGUCGUGAAGUUAUCAUGGUCAUGAUCUUUAAUUAAUCAUGGCUUGGAUUUGGAGGUUUAUGUUGGCUUUCUUAAGUUGACUCCUCUUAAAUAUAUUAGCUCGGUGUCUUAAUACUUAGAGCGGUUCACGGUGUGAUAAUUAUCUACACUUCAACUAAUCUAAGUUAAGCCGGCUUCUAAUAGAUCCUUGGUGAUCACUUUGUGAAUUUGACCUCAAAUCAGGUAGGACUACCCGCUGAACUUAAGCAUAUCAAUAAGCGGAGGAUCGUAGCCUUGGUCAUUUAGAGGAAGUAAAAGUCGUAACAAGGUUUCCGUAGGUGAACCUGCGGAAGGAUCAUUAAAAGAUAUAGCAUAUUCUUCUGAAUAUACUUUAUUAACCCAUUCCGAGUACCUUACCCGUUGCUUCCGCGAGGCUGUCCUCACGGCCCUCUGAAGAUUUAUCUUUGGGGAGUCCUUGCGGAAGGUAUACAAUAAACUCUUGCAUUACCAUGUCAUCUGUCUGAAUCUGUUUAAAACAAAUAUUA
rnacentral:misc_RNA from 1 species